UCAGAAGCCAAGCCAAAGAGGAAAAGAGCGAAGAAAAACCAAAGCGGUGAGUCAGAUGAACUGCCACCCAAAACUACCAACUCCUGCAAGCUCCAGAAAACAAAGAGCUGCCCAAGAAUCAGCAGAGACUAGUCAGCCCAAAAAGUCAAGAGGCAGCAAGAAGAAGUAAAACUGUUCAAAAUCAUUGAAUUUAAG